AGAAUCAACGCUGGCGGCGUGCCUAACACAUGCAAGUCGAACGUAGAAAGGGGUAGCAAUACCAUGAGUAAAGUGGCGCACGGGUGAGUAACACGUGACUAACCUACCCUGGAGUGGGGGAUAACUGAGGGAAACCUUAGCUAAUACCGCAUAAUACCUACGGGUCAAAGGAGCAAUUCGCUUCAGGAGGGGUCGCGGCCGAUUAGUUAGUUGGCGGGGUAAUGGCCCACCAAGACAGUGAUCGGUA
rnacentral:rRNA from 1 species